GCUGGUGUAGCUCAGUUGGACAGAGCAGUUGAUUUGUAAUCUUCAGGUCGUGGGUUCAAAUCCCAUCCCCAGCUCCA
rnacentral:tRNA from 5 species